CACAGCCAGGCUUCAUUUGUCUCACCAGAACUGUAGUGUCUUGCUUUGUCUCCCAGACUGGAGUACAGUGCUGUGAUCUCAGCUCACUGCGACCUUCACCUGCUGGGUUCAAGAGAUUCCCAUGCUUCAGCCACCCAAGUAGCUGGGAUUACAGGUGUGCACCACCAUGCUUGGAAAACGAAGGUGUAAUCAGCAUACAAGCAAUUUGGCUUCCUUUCAGCAACUAAUUCAAUUAAGAACAGUGUUUCAAGGAAGCAAAGAAAACAAAAUGGUGCUUCAGGUCUAUAAGACUAAGAUUUGCUUUGAAGAUGUUUCAAGAGUUUGAACUAUUCCCAAAAUGCAUUUUUGUGGAUAAUGACCAAAGUCUGUACUGUAGAGGAUUUAUAAAAUCCAUUGGA